GACGCAUUUAUUAGAUAAAAAGCCAGUUCAUGCUUUUACAGUAUGAAAAUUGGUGAUUUAUAAUAACUUAGCAAAUCGCAAAGUGAAAACAGGCGAUAAAUCAUUCAAGUUUCUGACCUAUCAGCUUUCGACGGUAUGGUAUUGGCUUACCGUGGCAGUGACGGUUAACGGGGGAUUAGGGUUCGAUUCCGGAGAGGGAGCCUGAGAAACGGCUACCACAUCUAAGGAAGGCAGCAGGCGCGCAAAUUACCCAAUUCUAACAGUUUGAGAGAGGUAGUAACAAGAAAUAACAAUACAAGGCAGUUAAAAUGCUUUGUAAUUGGAAUGAUAGAAAUUUAAACCCUUUUUAAAGUAUCAAUUGGAGGGCAAGUCUGGUGCCAGCAGCCGCGGUAAUUCCAGCUCCAAUAGCGUAUAUUAAAAUUGUUGCAGUUAAAAAGCUCGUAGUUGAAGUUCUGCUGAAAGUAACCGGUCUGCUUUUAAUAAAAGUGGUAUCUUGGUAUGUAUUUAGCAAUGAUGUC
rnacentral:rRNA from 1 species